UGCAGCAUGGCCUGCAUAACAUUUUUCCAUGUUAAACAUACGCCUUAAAUGCUGACAGGAUUUAAAAAGUAGCGAUCCCUUAACUCUAUCAUCCCAUAAGCAGAAAUCAAAUUACAUAGCACUUAUGUUAGUCUAAAAAGAAUAAACUGCAUAUAACAUCGGGAACUGAUAAAGGCUGAAAUCUAAAAUAAAGCCCAUAAGUAACCAUCUCAACAUAUGAUUGAUGAUGAUGAUUUAUCUGUGAUUCAUAACUCAGUCACACAAUACAUUUUGGCAGGCCUCUACAGCUGAUGACGUCCAGCUAGCAGGCCGUGGCUAAAAAAUCGAUCCCAAUUCCUUACUAAAAAAACAUAAUUACAUUUGUAAUUACAAUUUGAGCAUACUAAAAUUAAAAUCAUUUUACAUAUAAAGGGGUCCCUCGAUACCAUUUACACACGUAUUGGCAUUACAUUCGUUGAUACAAUAUUUUACCUCGGGGAGUGUGGGAGCAAACCGUGGCUAAAAAAUCUAUCCCAAUUCCUGACUAUAAAAACGUAAUUACAUUUGGGAUAUACAUUUUUACAUAUAAAG